UACCGGAUACGACCACUUCGGACAUCCGACGGUGGUGGAAGUUUUCGGUCUGGGAGUGGGCCCGCGGCCUAUCAGCUAGUUGGUGGGGUAAUGGCCUACCAAGGCGACGACGGGUAGCCGGCCUGAGAGGGGCGACCGGCCACACUGGAACUGAGACACGGUCCAGACUCCUACGGGAGGCAGCAGUGGGGAAUAUUGCACAAUGGGCGAAAGCCUGAUGCAGCGACGCCGCGUGAGGGACGACGGCCUUCGGGUUGUAAACCUCUUUCAGCAGGGACGAAGCGAAAGUGACUGUACCUGCAGAAGAAGCACCGGCUAACUACGUGCCAGCAGCCGCGGUAAUACGUAGGGUGCAAGCGUUGUCCGGAUUUAUUGGGCGUAAAGAGCUCGUAGGCGGUUUGUCGCGUCGGAUGUGAAAACCUAUGGCUUAACCAUGGGCCUGCAUUCGAUACGGGCAAACUAGAGUUCGGUAGGGGAGACUGGAACUCCUGGUGUAGCGGUGAAAUGCGCAG
rnacentral:rRNA from 1 species